CUGGCUCAGGAUGAACGCUGGCGGCGUGCCUAACACAUGCAAGUCGAACGAAGCUUGACGGAUGAUUUCUUCGGAAUGAAACCAGAUAUGACUUAGUGGCGGACGGGUGAGUAACACGUGAGCAACCUGCCUUUCAGAGGGGGAUAACGGCUGGAAACGGUCGCUAAUACCGCAUGAUGUGUUCGGAUGGCAUCAUCUGAACAUCAAAGAUUUAUCGCUGAAAGAUGGGCUCGCGUCUGAUUAGAUAGUUGGUGGGGUAACGGCCUACCAAGUCUGCGAUCAGUAGCCGGACUGAGAGGUUGAACGGCCACAUUGGGACUGAGAUACGGCCCAGACUCCUACGGGAGGCAGCAGUGGGGAAUAUUGCACAAUGGGGGAAACCCUGAUGCAGCAACGCCGCGUGAAGGAUGACGGUUUUCGGAUUGUAAACUUCUUUUCUUAGUGACGAAGACAGUGACGGUAGCUAAGGAAUAAGCAUCGGCUAACUACGUGCCAGCAGCCGCGGUAAUACGUAGGAUGCAAGCGUUAUCCGGAUUUACUGGGUGUAAAGGGAGCGCAGGCGGGACUGCAAGUUGGAUGUGAAAUACCGUGGCUUAACCACGGAACUGCAUCCAAAACUGUAGUUCUUGAGUGAAGUAGAGGCAAGCGGAAUUCCGAGUGUAGCGGUGAAAUGCGUAGAUAUUCGGAGGAACACCAGUGGCGAAGGCGGCUUGCUGGGCUUUAACUGACGCUGAGGCUCGAAAGUGUGGGGAGCAAACAGGAUUAGAUACCCUGGUAGUCCACACUGUAAACG
rnacentral:rRNA from 1 species